rnacentral:rRNA from 1 species
UGGGGAAUUUUGGACAAUGGGCGCAAGCCUGAUCCAGCCAUGCCGCGUGCGGGAAGAAGGCCUUCGGGUUGUAAACCGCUUUUGUCAGGGAAGAAAUCUUCUGAGUUAAUACCUCGGGAGGAUGACGGUACCUGAAGAAUAAGCACCGGCUAACUACGUGCCAGCAGCCGCGGUAAUACGUAGGGUGCAAGCGUUAAUCGGAAUUACUGGGCGUAAAGCGUGCGCAGGCGGUUUUGUAAGACAGAGGUGAAAUCCCCGGGCUCAACCUGGGAACUGCCUUUGUGACUGCAAGGCUUGAGUGCGGCAGAGGGGGGAUGGAAUUCCGCGUGUAGCAGUGAAAUGCGUAGAUAUGCGGAGGAACACCGAUGGCGAAGGCAAUCCCCUGGGCCUGCACUGACGCUCAUGCACGAAAGCGUGGGGAGCAAACAGGAUUAGAUAGCCCUGGUAGUCCACGCCCUAAACGAUGUCAACUGGUUGUUGGGAAGGUUCCUUCUCAGUAACGUAGCUAACGCAUGAAGUUGACCGCCUGGGGAGUACGGCCGCAAGGUUGAAACUCAAAUGGAA